UACGUAGGGGGCUAGCGUUGUCCGGAUUUAUUGGGCGUAAAGAGCUCGUAGGUGGUUCGGUAAGUCGGAUGUGAAAUCUCCAGGCUCAACCUGGAGGGGUCAUUCGAUACUGCCGUGACUAGAGUUCGGUAGAGGAGUGUGGAAUUCCUGGUGUAGCGGUGAAAUGCGCAGAUAUCAGGAAGAACACCUAUGGCGAAGGCAGCUCUCUGGGACGGUACUGACGCUGAGACGCGAAAGCGUGGGGAGCGAACAGG
rnacentral:rRNA from 1 species